rnacentral:rRNA from 1 species
UACGUAGGUGGCAAGCGUUGUCCGGAUUUACUGGGCGUAAAGGGCGUGCAGGCGGUUUGUUAAGUGCAGGGUGAAAGCUCCCGGCUCAACUGGGAGAGGUCCUUGCAUACUGGCAAACUCGAGGGAGGCAGAGGAAAGUGGAAUUCCCGGUGUAGUGGUGAUAUGCGUAGAUAUCGGGAGGAACACCCGUGGCGAAAGCGGCUCUCUGGGACGGUACUGACGCUGAGACGCGAAAGCGUGGGGAGCGAACAGG